rnacentral:sRNA from 1 species
GCAAAUAGCUCAUGUUCCCUUAGCCGUUCCAGCACCGCCCUUAGAUGUUCUUGGUGAGCUUCCCAAGAUUUCGAGUAAACAAGUAUAUCGUCAAUGAAGAUGAUAACAAACUCGUCUAAGAAAUCCCGGAACACCCCAUUCAUCAUUUUCAUGAAGGCUGCUGGUGCAUUGGUCAAUCCCAAUGGCAGACCACAAACUCAAAGUGGCCGUACCUUGUCCGAAAAGCCGUUUUCCUCACGUCCGUUGGCUCUAUGGGAAUUUGGUGAUAUCCUGAGGCCAAGUCGAUUUUUGAAAACCACUGUGCACCUCCAAGUUGAUCCAUCAACUCAUCUAUCCGGGGUAAAGGAUAUUUGUUUUUCACCGUAACUUUAUUCAAUCCCCGAUAAUCGAUGCAUAGCCUAAAGCUACCAUCUUUCUUUUUCACAAACAGAACCGGCGCACCCCAUGGUGAGCUACUCGGCCUGAUGAAUCCUUUAUCCAACAACUCCUCCAACUGUUUCUUUAGCUCCGCCAUUUCCGCCGGUGCCAUCCGGUACGGAGCUUUAGAUAUGGGGGUUGUCCCGGGCUCGAGUUCUAUCGUGAACGGGUCUGACCGGUCCGGUGGUACACCACUAACGGCCGCAAACACGUCCGAGAACUCGUUGACGAUCGGAAUGUCUUUCAACUCCGCACUCGCCCCCACUUCCUUGGUUGUGAUCGUGGCUAAAUAUGCCUCACAUUCUUUCCCGAGCAUCCUUUCAGCCUGGAUUGCCGAGAUUACCAAGCUUCCCGAGGUUGUUCUUAUUCCUUGGAAUUUUAACAUACCCUCGUCCCUCUCGAAUUGUAUCCGUCCUCGGUGACAAUCUAUGUGAGCCUUGUACUUCCCCAACCAGUCUAUCCCUAAGAUAACAUCAUGUUUCUUUAGUGGAACAAUGAUUAGGUCCGCGGGCAUAUUGACACUGUUCACUACAACCGAGAUGCCCCGAACAAGUCCGGUCGGAUACAUUGCCUGUCCGCCGGCCGCUCGUACCAUUCCAUAAUCGGUGUUUGGUUCUUUCCUGAACCCACCUAUUUCAACCAAUUCUGGACUAACAAAACAAUGUGUAGCCCCAGAAUCAAAUAGAGUGUGCGUUACUACGUCACCUACUCUCAAGGUCCCUACACAUUCCCUUAGAAUGUUGAGUACCUCCCCUUUCCCAUAUGCAUGAUGCAAUGCAAAUGCAGUUAUUGAAAUAAUGAAUAGGGAGUUGUGAGAACGUACCAGUGAUCGCCCUGAAGUUUCCGGCAUCGUUAGCUUCCUCCGACAACUCAUAAACUCGCGGUGCCACGGCUUGCCGCUUUGGGGGAGGCGGCAGUCCAUUUCCCCCGCGAUUGUCCCUUUGUCCGGCCUGCUUCUCCGCAGUCAACUUAGGGCACUCUCGCUUUAGAUGUCCAGUCUUUCCGCAAUAGAAACAAGUCCUUGUCUCUUCACCGAGAACCUUGGACUGCCCUGGUUCCAUUCUCGGGCAACUUUGGAUCGCAUGGUCCUUGCUUCCACACCGGCCACAUGCACCUAUGGCCUUCCAGCAAGUUCCGCUGUGGCUCUUACCACAGGUCACGCAUUCCCCGGUCUUAGCAUCGGACUUGGUGUUAUCCACCUUGUCAAAUUUCCUUUUCUUAUCCGCGGGUUUGGUGGAUUGAUUGUUCCGGAUCGGUGCUUUCUCCCGGUUCAAGUACCUCUCCUCCUCGAUCCCUUCCUCAAUCAUUGCUGCCCUUUCAACCAAUUCGGAAACCGAGUUGAAUGUCCGGACCAAACAAUGGUUGCGGAUCUCUAUCCUUAGUCCACGGAUAAAUCGGCGCACUUGAGCUUGUUCCUCCUCAAGUUCACGUCCCACAUAACGCCUUAGGCGGUUAAAUUCCUCAUCAUAUUCACGCACCGUGCGGUUCCCUUGAACUAGGUCGAGGUACGCACAUUCAAGCCUAUCCCAAGCCUCCGGUGGAAAGUACUUCUUGUUAAACUCGUCUUCGAAAUCCGCAAAGGACCGGACCUCGUCCCCUCUGCGUUUCUCGACGGUUAACCACCAAUUAUGGGCGUCUCCUUCAACGAAAUGGACCGCAAUGUCCCUUUGGUAAUCCUCAGGGCAGCGGGUAGACUUGAAGUUCCUCUUGAGUCUACUCCUCCACUCAUCGGCCACAAUCGGGUCCGUACUGCCCAUGAAGUGUCUCGUGCCCAGCCUUGAGACAUGUUCGAGAAGACUCAGAUAGUCUCCCCUUUUCCGCCCAUAAUUCGGUUGUGGAUUCACUUCCACAACUUCCGAGUCAUCGUCCUUUUGGUUAUCCCCUUUUAGGACCACCGGAUCUGCUACAACGGCCUUGGUCAAUGUGGCUAGUUGCGCCAUCAUUCCCUUCAUCAAAUCCCACUGUUCUUGGGCCGUUGGAGUAUUGUUCCGGUUAUCCGUGCUGUCCCUUGCACCACUACUCUCCGGUGCUUCCUCAUUUAUGGACUUCUUCCCGGCCUCAGGUCCGGCCGAGUCUGUCCCAUCGAACAUUGUCCCGACUCUGGUUUUCUCGUUGAUCAUCGUUUCCUCCUCAACCAAAGUCUCCUCGACAAUGCCCUUGUCCUUCUUACUCUUUCCCGUUUUGCUGCUCUUACCCAUCUGCGAAACCUCUAAAGUUAAUCCACAUAACUCCUAGUAAAAUCGCAAAGGAGUAAAGAACAACUACCGCGAGAUUCUCAAGCCGACGAGUGGUGAUACCCCUUAACCCAACACCUAGUCCUAGAACCAAGCAUGCUCUGAUACCAACUUGAAAGGCCCCGAUCCGGACUGCCUAAAGUCCGGGCGAGUUCUCUCGACCCAAGCCACUAAGUGACUCGGCCCUAACCGUUUAUGAGGUUCUUUCCUAGUCUAAUCCGUUUCAUAUGAUUCCGAGAUUCAAUAUAUGAGACGAAUAGAGUAAACAAACAAUCGGAUACUUUAUUAAUUAAGCAAAGGAUUCGAUACAACCUAUGAGUUUGCAUAUAAGCUAUUACAAGUCAUAUAAUCGAUCCCUAGACUAUCCGAACUAUCACCACCCAUCAUCCCGGCCUUGAGUCUCUCGCGCCUAAGCCAAGUCCUUCCCACGAUCACCAUUCGUUCCUGAAAGUCAUAGAGCCAUAAGUAAUCUUAUUUACUUAAUCAUAUGCAAGUCCAUGCAAUGCUCUAUAUGCCAUACACUACUCGGAUCCGUGGAGAGAAUUCAGAGAGGGGAAGAUCGCGCAUCAGUCCGGCCGAUUCUCGGCAGGUCAGUUAAGACCCGCCGGUCGUCCGCCGAGCCGCGUCCCCGCCUCAGCCGAUCCCUACCCGGACCGAGUCUUGUGUAGGAUGCACAUGACCCGGAUACUACUCAGCCCUCUAGUCGGUCCUUUCAAGGAUCCGACUACUAACUCACAUCCUAGAACCCUUAGACUCAAAGUCUAGGAUCCCUUACCUUCCUUCUCGAGGUUAGGUCGAUCCGACCCUCCUUCUUUAUUGCCGGCCAUAGCCCGGCUACCGAAUCCUAAGACUAUUUAUUCUCCCAAGAGGGAGAGAGUUUUAAUGGUGAGUUUUCUUGUGUUUUCGGUGUGUUGUGGUGAGUGGAAUGGUCCUGGGCGCCCUUCCUUAUAUAGGGGGCGAAUGGAUGCUUCCCGAAUCAACACAUCCGUUCCUUGCACCUUUCCGAAGAGUUGCACCUUUUCGAAGAGUUGCGCCCUUCCGAAGAGUUGCACCUUUCCGAAGAGUUGUAUCUCUUCGCCCAUAACCGCCCACUUCGUCCGUCACUCGUCCAGCUACCUCAAGCUCGUCCGUCACUCGUCCAGCUACCUCGAGUUCAACCGUCACUCGUCCAGCUGCCUCGAGCUCGUCCGUCACUCGUCCAGCUGCCCGAGCUGGACUGUCACUCGACCUGAGUAACCGUCACUCCUUCCAGCUGAGCUUGAGCUUUGGGCGAGCUGACCCAAGUGAUUUCUUUACAAUCCUAGCUUAGCCUGCAUGAUUUCCCCUUUGUCCGAGCUUAUGGCCAGCUCCUUCUCACUUGUCCGAGACUCCACCUUCCUCUCUCGGACCAAGUCCUAGCCAACGAUCCUAUUGAGGAUCGCGGGAGUUACAAGGCCCUCCUCUACCUCAGCAGCCGUCUCCACCAGUGCCGCCUUCGUGGCGUACUGCGACACUCUACACCGCACUCUCAAAUCCGGUCGAAGUCCCCUCAAGAACCUCCUCAUCUGGGCCUGGUCAUCCUCCAUGCCCCGACCCGCAUACGCCAAGAGUCGGUUAAACUCCCGGUCAUACUCCCGAGCCGACCGCUCACCCUGUGUCAGCUCAAGAAAACGCGCCUCCAUACGGUCGAGCGCCUCCUUCAGAAAGUACUUGGCAUUAAACUCAGCCACGAAAUCUGCCCAAGACAUAUCCGCCUGCCUCCUCCUGGCAGUCACACUCCGCCACCACAAAUGUGCAUCCCCCUCUAGAAAAUGCACUGCCAGAUCUACCCGAUACUCCGCCGGGCAUCUGCUCGAACCAAAGUUCCGCUCAACCCGCGACCUCCAACUGUCGGCCUCCUCAGGACUAGUACCACCAGAAAAAUAACCGGUGCCAAUCCUCUGCAACUGCUCCAUCAUCCUCAAAUAAGAUGGAACCUCCUCAGCAACCGCAGCCCGCUGCUGCACCUCCGCCACUCGUGGCGCAACUGGAGCCUCCACUGGUACCACACCUGGUAACCGCUCCAACAACUGCCUCAACAGGCCCGCCAAACCAACCUCUGGAACCUGGGCUCCGGCUGCGGCACCCAUCACUCCUGGCCCCUCAGCACCAACGGCAUGCACACCGGUACCGACACUAGCUCCACCAGCCCCCACUCCGGCUGCACCAGCUAUAUCGGCACCAAGACCGUUCCUAACCCCGGGCUCAACAAACUCAGGCUGCGAACCCACACUCUGCUCAACUGUGGCACUGUGGCCAUCACUCUCGCCGGUACCCUCGAGGACUCAUCCCCUACCGCGACCACGACCACGAAUUCCAGCUCCUCUAACCAUCUGCGCUACUCAAGAACAAAUAGCUAAGAAACUAAAACAAACGAAUAUAUCACGAACUCCUCGGAGAAGAUGAUGCUAGGACUCCAACAACACACAAUUGACUAAACACUCCAUAAUCAAUCCUCAAUAUGCUAACACCCUAGCUCAUCCUGUGAGACCCCGUCCCGGACGUCUCGGCGUCCGGCGACGUUGUACUCAAGUUCGCGCCUCUUCCCGGCCGAACCUCUUAAUUUUUCGCGAUUCAACAUAGAAUUGCCUUUACGAGGCUAAAUUCUAUAAUCGCUCUCUUAUUACACAGCGGAAGUCUUUCUAACCUUGGUUUAAUUCUAACCAACUCUUGUACCGGUUUCAUCGUCUUUGUUCCUUAGACUUAGAUCGAUCUUUUACUCGGUCAAGACAUGCAUAUGUUCGCUAACCAUUCUAAGCCAAACAAUCGCAUAUUCCUUUAUCCUACUUUCACGGUCAAUUACCAAACGUCUAUCUUAACUAAUAAGCUAGAUCGUUACAUACCUUGGUCAAUAUGCGGAUUUGAUUCCUUAGCCCGUUUGUCGCCUUACUCCAUUCGUUCAACGACUCGUCAUCGAUCGUGAAUUGAUGAACCAAUCCCUAUCGUACUUAGCCAUACAACCAACCAACCCCACUGGUCUAAGUACAACGAUAGAGAUUGGGGAUCGUACGAUUUCCUUGGUUCACGAUGGCCGAAUCAAGCUCUUGGCUUAUUGGUCCAUUCGUUCUCCAAACGUACGCCCCUCCGGCUACAUGGUGGACGAUUGAGCCCUCGGCUUAUCGAACCAUCCAUGUUUCCGUUUCGGUCGUUUAACACUACGACCGCCCAUGGUUACUAACCGUUUACCCGUCCGGUCCAUGGUGGUCGAUAAAGCUUUCGGUUUAAUGAUCCAUCCAUGCGGUCCGAACGAUAUCCUUAUCACACCCAAGGGUCCGUGGAUUCAUCCACUGGAUCAUCGUAGGCUAGCCCAUGAAAUCUUUCUUCCGUCGGCCUUAGGUUUGCUCGCGGGUCCAACAUCCGUUUUGUCCAUCGGUUCCCACCGUGGACUUUCCCGUUGGUUAUCCGUCGAGUCACCCUUUGGUCUUACCGAUCUCUGAUCGGUUUCACCAUGGCUGAGGAGAUAGAUACAUGAAGGCGGCCGCGAUGUUGAUCCUAUAUGGUGAAUCA